rnacentral:rRNA from 1 species
AUUGAACGCUGGCGGCAUGCCUUACACAUGCAAGUCGAACGGCAGCACGGGGCAACCUGGUGGCGAGUGGCGAACGGGUGAGUAAUGCAUCGGAACGUACCUUUCAGUGGGGGAUAACGUAGCGAAAGUUACGCUAAUACCGCAUAUUCUGUGAGCAGGAAAGCAGGGGAUCGCAAGACCUUGCGCUGAUUGAGCGGCCGAGGUCAGAUUAGCUAGUUGGUGAGGUAAAGGCUCACCAAGGCGACGAUCUGUAGCGGGUCUGAGAGGAUGAUCCGCCACACUGGAACUGAGACACGGUCCAGACUCCUACGGGAGUCAGCAGUGGGGAAUUUUGGACAAUGGGGGCAACCCUGACCCAGCCAUGCCGCGUGAGUGAAGAAGGCCUUCGGGUUGUAAAGCUCUUUCGGCCGGGAAGAAAUCGCACGGGCUAAUACCCUGUGUGGAUGACGGUACCGGAAUAAGAAGCACCGGCUAACUACGUGCCAGCCGCCGCAGUAAAAC